ACCCCGUGUAUCGGGCAGAUCGCCGACCACGCUCUGCCGGGCAAGAGGGAACGCCUCUCGGGAGCAGGAAGUGAAGUCGACAGCUGAUUUCACGUUUAUUUGAUCCCAAGCUAUGACUCUCAAUGAGAUCAUAGGCAUAUUAUUGGAGACACAGAGAGGCAUUGGAACAACCCUUUCCCCAGUCUAUACAAAGAGGGGACUGCGAAAGUCUGACCAACAAGCAACACUUACUAGUGAGAUGAAUCAAACGAGUGAAUUGCCUUUUCUGCACAAGAUACUUUAGUAUGGUUCCACAAUGAAGACUUCAACUUGGAGACAGUACUGACCGAAGCUGGAGAUAAGCCAAAUCACAAGUAAGAAUAGUAUUCAAGUCCUGGAAAGUACUUAGAAAGGACUAUGGAACAGGGAACAAGAAACAAUGCAGUCAAUUCCCACUUUCUCUUCCGAUGGAAUCCACAUUAUGGAAAAUUCAAAGAUGCAGGAUCGCCAAUUUCCUUCAUUCCCCCCAUAAUUUGUUCUUCAGGCUUCAGAUACCACAUGUCCUACCCCUGAUAAUAAGACCUCCAUUGUUUCAACUAUGUUCGUAGUUGCCAAAAUGUGCUUCUUAACAGCAUUGAUUGUUGUAUCAUUUCCAAUCCCUUCCAUGUAAUACUUUAAAAAUAACUGCUCUGUGUGAGCCACUUUGAUAUACGUGAGAGAUAUGAAAGGCAGUGCAGAACUGCAUCUUUUCUCCAUCUGCAAGCUCAUAUUUGGCGAGGCGUGCCUCAGACUGACUUGCCAUUUCACAAGAAGUCCCGCCAAUGUACUUUGAUCAAAACAAAUAUGGGGAUUCUUCUCAGCCGAAAGGCGACCCACACGUCACUCUUUCCAAACAAACAGCUCGCAAAAACCCCUCAAAAUUCCAACCCCCUCGUUAUUCGACGAACGUCACGUCAGCUCACGGACUGCCAAACCACCAUCAGUUCAUGGUCAACACAAGUUCCAACACAUAUCAUUACCUUCGCCAAGAGUCCUCCAGAACCUGGUCAAGCCUGUUCCAUCGACCUUGACAAACAAAUACAACAGCAUACAAUGCCAACUGAUACACAAAUUUCCCUAACCAUGACUCAACUCCAGCAGAACCCGCUACAUGACUCAACAUGUUUGCAACUUCAUCCUUUGCGAGGCAUUUGGUGAGAGGGCAGAAAGAUAAAGACGAGAUCCCCUGGGGAUUUCACUCCACUCAAAUUAUUACUAAUCUACUUUCGAUAUUUCGUUAUUUUUCUCUGUUCAACGGCAAAUUAGAAAAGAAAAAUCAUAGCAAUGUAUUUUUUUUAACGAUCAUUUGAGAAUUAUUUUUUUAGGAGGUAAAAUAGUAUGGUAAUGAAUCCAUAGAGAAUAGUAAUUCUACCAACCUUGGAUAGCACGGGUGAGUGACCAUUAUUCAUUGAACUCUGGAAGUUCGACUUUAUCUCACCAGGGACUAACUUUACUGCACCAUCGUAACUUUUUACUGUUGUGUGGUGUCUUUUUAAAAUUGCUGUUUUUUUUCUUUUGACCUCCCACAAAUAUGUAAUAUAUGAAUAUGCGAUUCUGUUCCAUUCUGUUUGUAGUUUGUUUGUCUUUUUGCACAAUCCGCGAGCGUUGCCACUUUUAAUUUCACUGCACAUCUCGUAUGUGUAUGUGACAAGUAAACUUGACUUGACUUGACAUGACUUGUAGCUAUUCAGUCCUUUACACUUGUGCCACGACUAACUGAACGUGUGGUAGAAACACGGAACUGCAAAUGCUGGUUAAAACACAAAAGGACGCAAAGUGCUGGAUUAACUCAGCAGGUCAGGCAGCAGGUCUUGAGAACAUGGAUAGGUGAGGUUUUCGGUCAGGACCAUUAACAUUACCAAUUGGUUUACUCACCUUUUUUUCUCAACGAGCUUUACCUUUCGACCACUCUCAAUUACCUUUGAUUGCCUUCGAUUACCUACGACUAACAUGCCGACCUACUACGACCUACCUCGACUAAACCUACGAGUAAAAAAAUCUCGAUAUUUUCCAUGGCGACCUUUUUUUACUCGCGGGCAUUUUUCAGCGUGUUGAAAAAUACGCCACGACCUAGCUGAGGCUUCGAGUACCCAGGGCCUACUCUCGAGCAUGAAGGAGAGCUACAAAGACCUCCUAGGACCUUGUGUCGACCAUGCAGCGAGUAUGAGUCGAGGGCGAACUCUUCUAAACUCGCCAAUUAGGUCGCUGCAGUGGGACAGGCCCUUUACCA